UACAGAGGUCUCAAGCGUUGUUCGGAUUCAUUGGGCGUAAAGGGUGCGUAGGCGGCGCGGUAAGUCGGGUGUGAAAUCUCGGGACUUAACUCCGAAACUGCAUUCGAUACUGCCGUGCUUGAGGACUGGAGAGGAGACUGGAAUUUACGGUGUAGCGGUGAAAUGCGUAGAUAUCGUAAGGAAGACCAGUGGCGAAGGCGGGGUCUCUGGACAGUUCCUGACGCUGAGGCACGAAGGCCAGGGGAGCAAAACGGG
rnacentral:rRNA from 1 species